AAUCAGUGUUUCCCUCUAGAAGAGCAAAUAGGAAAUGGGAAAGGCUAAGAACAGCAACACCAAGAACCCUGCAAAGACAUCUUGAAUUUUACCUAGCAGAUCUGUUAUCUGUCGUGGCGCUGUGGCUGAAGUAAUCCUGCAACCGUUUCAAGCAACCUGCAAGGAGGGCGUCCCGGUCGGAACAAGCACUCCCAGCAUCCAGCUCUUAGUUCCUAAAAUACCUUCUCCACCAAGUCCCCAUUUCUGAUCUGGGUGAGGGAGUGUUCAGGUUGAUACUGAACAUCCCGGGCUAACAGGCAAGAAAGUUCUCCAACACCAGUCAAGACAUGUAGAAGAACAUAGUUGCUGGCUUAAAGCGGCUCCCACUGCUCACAUUUGUGACAAUUUGAACAUCAAAAAGAAUAAUGGUGAUGGAUUAUAACAUUGAGUUAAAAUAACAAGCUGGGAGCAGCACUUUGGGAGGCUGAGGCAGGGGGAUCACUUGAGGUCAGGAGUUUGAGACCAGCCUGGGCAACAUAGCAAGAC